AAAAAAAAAAAAAAAAAAUCAAAGCUAAUAGUCAUCAUUUGCAUGGGACAGGCUUCUCAAGUAGCUAUAGCCAUUGACUAUUCUGAUUGGCUGGUGCCCUUGUGAACCAGGUAGGAAACACAGCGUUUUGAAGACCACCCCUGCCCACAGCAACAAGAUAAGAUCAUGUUUACAUUCACAAAGUGUCUGGCCUGUGACCACUUCCUUGUGAGUGGCACAGCCAGGAUUAGAACACUCAAGGAGCUUACAAUACAGUCCGAAGAGGAAGGUAUCAAGAGUGAUCUGAAAUAAUUCCAGGGUGACAUGAAAACAAGCCCCGAUGGUGUGGGCCAGAAAGCAGGCACAGCACGUGGGUAAAAUGAAAAAUAAGGGAAAGAUGGUCCAGUCCUCAAAGCAAGCUUGGUGAAGGAUGGCGUUUUAUGGUGGGCCUUCAACAGCUGGUAUAGGAAUUUCCUUUAAGCUGGCCUUAAAGGAAAUUUAGGAUUUGGACUGGGCUUCAGCUGUGGUUGUUAUGAGAAGAGACUGGAGACAGAAUCCCUAGGUUCCAAACUCAGCUUCCCAUGUAUAAAGUGAGGAUGAUAACAAUGGUAUCUGCUCAAAGGUUGUUCUGAAGAUUAAGAGAUAAUCUAGGCAAUGCACCUUACGUAGAACGUGCUCAGCGAAUGGUUGGUGUUAGGAUUUCAUUUCUCUUUGCACCUAGUGAGUGGUAAAUAUCCUUCUGCAGAGCCUCUUACUUCCCGCAUGUAACAUUCAGGAUUGCUGGUUGCAAGCAACAGAAAUCACCUCUGGCUGGUGAGGAUCUGUGAAUAGCUCAAAAGACAAGGAAUUUAUUGAAAGGCAAUUCACAGCAUCACCAGAAAGGCUGAAAAAACCAGAUAAUAAAAUGGGCAGGAAGCAAGGGGGGACUGGGCAACCAGGACCCCAGAUCAAGCGACACUGAGGAACGCCCCUGUCCAGAGUACUGCCACGGGUGCCGGACAGCAAUGCCACAUGGGUGGUGGGUACCACUGUCCCACCACCUCGGGCACCGCUUUGCACACUCCAAACACCGCCUCUAUCAUCUUGGGUUUCUGUUACAUGCGGCCAAACUCAUUUCCCAACAAACAUCGGUCAUCAGACUUGAAAUCCAGCCACUGCUCUCAGCGUCAACGCACACUCCUGCCCCCUGGAAAGCUAACAAAUUAUCUCUGUGUGGUGGGACUUCGGCAAUUCUCAAGUGGACCUUUCUCCCUUGCCUCAACCGUCCUCUACCCACAUCCUAAAGAUCCCUGAAGGCAUCAAUCCCUGUUAAAACAUAAAUAAACCCCAGAGGGGUGACACUAUGUUAUGAUCAGGUUUUGACACUGUGAAAAAACAGACUUAAGAACAUUCUGGUAGGAAGGCAAAAAAAAAAAAAAAAAAAAGGAUUUAGAAUGAACAUAUGGUACCACCAAAUACCAUUUGCCUAAAACUGGCCUGAGGGAGGCUAGAGUGAGACCAAAUACUGCCAUCGUGGUCCCCUCCCUGUUUUGACUACCCGAGUUUUCAUGUGCUGAUCGUGUUUGAGGUUGGCCUGACCACCUUGGAUCCCAGGCAGAACCCCCACUCUGCAGAGAAGAGACACCUGUGUCGUCAGGAUCUGGUCACUUUCAUCGUCUGCGCUUGGCUCAGCAUCCCCUUAACUUAGUGAAGGAAUCUGUAAGUCCUAUCCGCGGCUUUGGGGCAAUGUUUUAAAAGCCCUUUGGAGACCGAAAGCAAGAUACAAUCACCCUAUGCCAAAAAAGCUAAUGAGGAAGGCCACCUCUGAUGGUUUUUAUGUUGCUGUUAAGUCACAAGCUCCCACUCUGCUAUCCACACAAUGAGGUGCGACUCAAACAAAAGCAAACCGUCAACAGGGCCAGCCUGAGCUGGGAGCCGAAGGAAGCCGGUGUGGAGACCCGGCGACAGGUGCUUUCUCCACUCUGGUCCCACGGUGCUUUGGGAAGGAUCCUGAGAACAGCAAUGAGGACAGGAGCCGCCGCUGCAGCCAGCAGGAAUGGGCUCACUCGAAGGAGCAAGACGGUAUAGACAGCUCCUCAGCAAGGCGGCCGUUCAAGAAGGGCACCUGCCAUGUAUCUGCAGGAUGCAGGGUUAUGGCGGGAAACUCGGGAGACUCCCCUGAUUCUGUGUGGUGCCAGAGAUUGGUGUCUUCUUGUGGAUCUUGUGAUCGGUGUCCCUCAGUGACCCCUCCAGACUAAAGGGAUCUGGGGGACCCCUGGCCAGCACUGUAGCAAGCAGCAGUGUCACUUUCCACACCCUGCCACCACCGUGCCAUCAUCUUGGUGACACCGCACACCAGCAGGGGAGUUUGAUUAAAGCCUCAGUCUCGCUGGAGUCCGUGGAGGGGGCCAAUGAAUGGUACCCCUCUUUGCCUGUGAUCGGAACAAAUCGAGCAGUGAAGCAGAGGAGUGGCAGAUGGAAGCUAAGAUAAAAUCUUUGUAACUAAUAAAGACCAACCAGAAGGGUACUGUUCACAGUAAUGGCCCCAGAGUUAGGCAGAACUGCUCUUCCAGGCACUGGCCAUGCUCAGCUGGGGCAGGGGCCCUGCUCGGUGUAGACGGCGGAAAAGAACACCUGCUUCUUGCAGGCAGCUGCUUCUCCAGAGGAAAACAGGAAGGGUGAGGCAAUACGUCCAGUGUAUUUUUCCUAACUGUAUCCAUCAGUUAAGUCACUCCACCCAGCCCCCUGGAGGAAGUGAGGGUCCAGAAUGCCACCCCUCCUACCUGGGAAGAAAUAUCAGGAGUGGAGAACAAGCUCCGCAAUAUUGUUGCAGAGGUGAGGAAACUGACACAGAGAAAAAGUAAGAGAUUUUCUCGUGAUACCCAAUGCACGAAAGGUGAUGGCAAGUCUCUGGACCACCGAGCCCAGCGGUGCUGUGUCAUCUAAGCACAUCCGCUCCCAGGGGCAGGAGGGCUUCAACUCAAGACCACAUUUGUGGUUCAAUGUCAGUUGAACAGUUUAAGUCACUAAAAACCUGUGUAUCUGCACAUUUUCCCUCUUGUGCAAUUCUCUCUCUUACUGCACCUUCACCCUGUAACACACAUUGUCUUUGCCCUCCUUCCUAUUUUUAUUCUCAACUACAAUGUUUGUUUUUUUAUUUUAUAUUUAUAUAGUAAACUAUAUAUUCUUAUAAGAAGUCAUACAUCCCACUAAAAGAUGGACAAAUAAAAUGCAUCCUCUGUUUUUUCGUUCACUCUUUAAAAAACCGAUUUUGAAAUUUUAUAAAAACAUUCCCUAAACACCUAUUACCUGGGCUUUAAAUUUUAGAAUCAAAAGAUAAAAUUUAAUUUCCAAAGAUUUAACAAGUUUUCAUCCGCCCUCCCAAAUGAAAUGUACACAUUUAUUAUAGAAUAGAUUUUCUUUUUAAGCUAAGGUUGUUGAUUCAUAAAUUGUUACAUUCUAUUUUUCAACAGUGAUGAUUUAAACUUAUUUUCAUGUCUUGCUGAGCUAAUUCACAGUGUUAAGCAUUCACAGAAUGAAGCAUUUGACCCACGUUAAUUCUGUUUUAUUUCUAUAAAUAUAUUCUAGAUACAAAAUCAUUAAAUGCUUUACUUCGCAACUUUAUAUGCCACGUAAAAAAAUAUUGGCAGUUAGUAAAUUUUGACGAAAGAUCCUCACUAAACACAUCUUCCAAAGGCUCUGUCUGUUGGCAUCUGCAGCUAAGUUUAAUCUCCUUUAUAUCCUACUGCCUCUUGAGAGUGCAAGGGAUUUUUUAUUUAUUUAUUUUUUUUUGGUUCUUGUUUUGGUUAGUGUUUUCUCCCAGAAAUAUCAACUGUUGCUGUCAUUCUUACCAAAAGAGGUUGUCUCAUUGUUGAUUCACACGAGCCAAGCUUAUUUCUUGCAAAAUAUUUUUUUAAUAAUCCAAAGUCCAACCACAAGACCAGUUGUCAUUAGUUGGGCCUUGAAUAUAGGAAGUAAAAGGGACGGAAAAUGAGGCCAUUCAUUUUAUUUUCUAUGUUUUCUUUAAUUGUUCUACUUUUUGAUUUACAGAGCAUGAACUGUAAAGAAACUAGGGAGGAGGUUUUUUUAAGUUCUGUUUUGUUUUUUUUUCAGUGUCAAAUAAUGUAACAUUCAUUGAAAAAAAAAGAAAUUAAACAUUUCGUUCUUAUUAUUCAUACAGAUUAAGUCAAACACUUGAUUACAUUAAUUCAUUUCUUCAUUCAUUCAUUCAACAAAUAUUUACUUGGUACCC